rnacentral:piRNA from 1 species
UAGCUGUCCGCUGAUUCGGCGUAGGCGGC